UACGACGGGGGCUAGCGUUGUUCGGAAUUACUGGGCGUAAAGCGCACGUAGGCGGAUUGUUAAGUCAGAGGUGAAAUCCCGGAGCUCAACUUCGGAACUGCCUUUGAUACUGGCAAUCUCGAGUCCGGAAGAGGUUAGUGGAAUUCCCAGUGUAGAGGUGAAAUUCGUAGAUAUUGGGAGGAACACCAGUGGCGAAGGCGGCUAACUGGUCCGGUACUGACGCUGAGGUGCGAAAGCCAGGGGAGCAAACAGG
rnacentral:rRNA from 1 species